UAUAUGACCACCAUGUUCUGAAGGAUGCCCACAAAGCUGAGGGAAAGGGGAGCCCAUUCAAGUUAAGGAGACGCCAAUCAGGCGAAUGGGAUGGGGCUUGACAAGAUUCUCAGAACGUGGUUGAAGGGUCUGCAAGACCCUUGAGUCUUAUUGAUGAAAGAAUAAAAUCCAUGGGACCUUAACUGGAGGGCCCAAACGUCACUAUAUCCAUGAAAACCGAGCCUUCCACGGAUCUUGGAGAGAAGUGAUUCAGGUGAUAAUCGUGUGAAAUCAACGUGAAUGAUUUCCCUAACGGCUCUACUGUCCCCUGUGCAAAUCAUGGCUUUUCGUUUUUGUGCCACAUCUACCAAAUAUUUGGGGAUGGAGUGAGAGUCAAGUGGUGGCGGAGAGGAUGGGGGAAGAGCCUUUCUAAUAUCUCGGAAGAAGAAAAUAGUUUUUGCACAAAAUGCAUGUGCGUGAAAACAACCCUGUAGAUGGAGCAGAAUGGUGGAGGGUGAUGAAAUGGAGAAUAUUCCAGCCUGGGCAGGAGAACCACAGAUAGACCACGUAGUCAGGAGAAGAAUCACUAACUUUCAUUAUUACUCACACGGCAUAGAAACUGUCCACAGUUCCUAGGAAGAUUCCAGGUCAAAGUGCUUCCUGUUCUUUGGCCCAAGAGCCAUAUCCACUUACAAAUGGAAUCUUGAUUAAUUUUCCAUUUGUACUUGGGGCAUUUCCCUAAGCUCUUUGACUAUUCAUGCCCCACUGUUAGCGAAUGCCUCCAGGAGCCCUGAACUCAAAGAUCUUCUCCUAGGGAGGCCUGCCCUGACACCCACACCAGGAAGACGCCCUGCGAGCGACUCUGAUGGCACCAUCUAUCUCUUCUCCCUAACACUCUCCCCAUCUGUCCCUUUAGCUGCUGCUAAUGGUGAAAGAACCAGUCUUGUGUCCCCAAAGGACUGGCAUUCCACUCUGGUCUGUGGAUGCUUCAGGACAGCGUGUUCCCUUGUGUCCCCAAGCCACACUGGAACAAGAACAAGAACAAGUACAAAAAUCCUGGACGAACGAUGAGUUGUCUUGGACCAAGAUUGUGCCCCACCGCAGCCCAUGGAUCCACGGACCAGCCAUGUUAGAAGCAUCAGCUGGUGUCUAGAGGAUCCUCAAAGACAGUACUUCUCGUGCUUUCACGGACUCAAGAACCACCUGGGGCAUCUUCAGAAAGUGCAGAUCCUGAUCCCGGAGGUCUGAGAGCCCGUGUUUCUAACCAGCUCCCCAGCGAUGCUGAUGCCCCUGGUCGGCAGAGCGUGCUUUGAGAAGCAGUUCCCAGCGUGCCGAGGAAGCUGGCUGGCUCAGGUGCCCUGCCCUGGGUGAGAGAGUGGGUGACCGACAAGGAAAGAAAAUGACCUGAAAUGGAAAUAAAUGCUGUGUACCACAAUCUCAUUAAUGUCUAAAAUUAGAUUAACGUAAUUAAAAAU
rnacentral:lncRNA from 1 species